GUGCUCGCUUCAGCAGCACAUGUACUAAAUUGGAACGAUACAGAGAAGAUUAGCAUGGCCCCUGCGCAAGGAUGACAAGAAAAAGAAAAAAAAAGUGUGGAGCUGA